rnacentral:rRNA from 1 species
AUGAACGCUAGCGACAGGCUUAACACAUGCAAGUCGAGGGGUAACAGGGUAGCAAUACCGCUGACGACCGGCGCACGGGUGAGUAACGCGUAUGCAACCUGCCUAUAACUGGGGAAUAGCUCCCUGAAAGGGGAAUUAACACCGCAUAACACUAUUGAUUCGCAUGGAUUGGUAGUUAAAUGUAGCGAUACAGGUUAUAGAUGGGCAUGCGUGACAUUAGCUAGUUGGUGAGGUAACGGCUCACCAAGGCUACGAUGUCUAGGGGUUCUGAGAGGAAGGUCCCCCACACUGGUACUGAGACACGGACCAGACUCCUACGGGAGGCAGCAGUGAGGAAUAUUGGUCAAUGGGCGCAAGCCUGAACCAGCCAUGUCGCGUGCAGGAAGACUGCCCCCUAUGGGUUGUAAACUGCUUUUAUAGUAGAAGAAACACAUCUACGUGUAGAUGUCUGCCAGUAUACUAUGAAUAAGCAUCGGCUAACUCCGUGCCAGCAGCUGC